CACUGGAUAGCUCAGUUGGGUAGAGCGACAGAAGUUGAUUCUGUUUGUCGCGGGUUCGAAUCCCGCUCCACGCG
rnacentral:tRNA from 1 species